rnacentral:lncRNA from 1 species
UCUAUUUAAUUAUUAGUGUGGCCUAUUUGUUUUAUUAUAGGCAAAGCUUAAUUAUAAAGCUAUGCCUAUAAUAAUAUUUAUGUUUAAUAUGCUUGUAAUAUAUAUAUUAUUAUAUCAGCAUAAAAUACGUAUUGACAAACCUAUUAUUAUUAUAUAUAAACAAUAAACAUAACAGAAUAAAUGAACCGAAAAAAGAAAAAAAAACCCUUUAACACCGGUUGGUAUUAAAGGGUCCUGCAACGUGGCAGCCCUAGCAGGACCCUUUAAAAUCGGUUGGUAUAACCAACCGGCAUUAAAGAGGGGGGGGGCUAUGGCCCCGGUGCCCUGAACCGGGACUAAAGGGAGGGCCUUUAGUCCCGGAAGGGCAGCACUGGUUCGGCAACCGGGGCAACAGGCCCUUCCCGACCGGUGCUAAUGCCCGACAUCUAGAGGAUUACAAUCAGCAGUGAGAGCAUCUAGAGGCUUACAAUCAGCAGCAACACAUUCAUCAAGUUACAACUUGGCAUCAACUACAACCAUAAAUUUCUAACAAGAGGAAUAACAGCAAACAGACAGAUAAGUCAAAGAUUCUGUCCCCCUUGGUAAUCAGUUCAUGUCUCCCAAACUACAGCUCCACUGUGCAUACGUUUUGGUAGGCAAGUAGACCCACAAGUCCCCUAACCACUGACCAAAUUUUAGCUCAAUCAGACACAGUUUGGCCACCCAAACAAAUCAUCUACCAAAACUGCUCUGUUCUGAAACUGCAGAGAUCCGAACUGAUAAAACCCCUCUCAAAUCUGGUGCUAUACGUAACCAAUCCUCAAACCAACUUAGCAGAUCGAAGUACUCUAAGCGAGGAACAAGAUCACCAAGUUUGGUGUCAAUCCAACCAAGUUUAAGCCUCCAAUCACCAGCUUGAAGAUGACCGGUUUACAGCCACC